AUUGAACGCUGGCGGCAGGCCUUACACAUGCAAGUCGAGCGAGCGGCGGACGGGUGAGAACUGUAUGGGGAUCUGCCUGGUGGCGGGGGAUGACUAAUGGAAACGGUUGCUGCUCACGCAUAACCCGAGAUGUACCCAUAUGGGAUUAGCUGGUCGGUGGGUGAACGGCUCACCAAGAUGACGAUCCCUAGCUGGGCUGGGAGGAUGCGCAGCCACCCUGGGACUGAGACACGGCCCAGACUCCUACGGGAGGCAGCAGUGGGGAAUGUUGCACAAUGGGCGCAAGCCUGAUGCAGCCAUGCCGCGUGUAUGAAGAAGGCCUUCGGGUUGUAAAGUACUUUCAGCCGGAAGGCGUUACCGGCAGAAUAAGCACCGGCUAACUCCGUGCCAGCAGCCGCGGUAAUUC
rnacentral:rRNA from 1 species